GUUUGAAGAGGGUCUAUGGAUUUGUGA
rnacentral:piRNA from 1 species